CUGUAACCAAAUCAUCUUCUUCCUCGAAUCCUCUUUUGCUCAUAAGCACACUGAGAAGAAUGUGUUUUUGCAAACCCUAAAUUAAAGAGAAACUGUUUAUGUGAAAUCUUCAAUUUCUUCUCCGUCUCCGCUAACUCGUUCAAAUCUAGCAGGUUCUCGUCGUGCAACUUAGGAAGUUGGCGGCGAAGAUUAAAGAAAAUAGGUCCAAACAAAUAGUUCAACAAACUUGUGGAUCCAAGCCACAUAUGUGAUAUGCAAAAGAGCAAGAUUAAUCAUUAAUCAAUUAUGAAUAUCCUCCAUUUCGUCUUUGGAAUCUGUGGGAAUGCAACUGCUCUGUUUCUCUUCUUGUCUCCACUAGUGACAUUCCUUAGAAUCAGAAAAACUAAAGGGAAUCGACAAUUCUCUGGUGUUCCUUACAUCAUGACCUUGCUCAAUUGCCUUCUCUCUAGAUGAGUGGAAAGUAUAGAUGGUGGUUAUUGGUGGCGCAAAUAUGGGAAAUAAGUGCUAAAGUUGCAGUAUUGCUACCAAACCGAAACAAUGAAGGACUCGAGGUAUCUUACCAAACUUAUAUCCAACUCGUUUGAUUACUUGGUUAAGUGAUAGGAAAUGUGGCAGCAUACUGGGAGCUCGAUGGAAAUUUUGGUGCCAUGUGCCAACGGUAUGGGCAUUAUCCCAAAUGUUCUAAUUGAGGUGAGUUAGAACUCCUCCAAAGGCAUAACACAAACUAGAAAUGCAAACCCAUAAACUGAGUAUUUAUUCCUCCAUCCCCGUCCCAUUACUAUUUAUUGUUAUGCCCUAUUUGGUUUGAUCAUUUUCUCGUAACCAUGAACUGAGUAUGUAAGUUAAGAUGCCAUUUGUUUAGUUAUUUUCAGUAAAAAACGAUUUGAGCCAACCUGAGAUGCUGAUAAUUUGGUUCUAGGAAUUCUUUUAUUCGAAUUUCACUCUACAAUGAGGCAUCCUUAUCUAGGUUAGAUACUUCGGUUUCGUUCUCCGUGUACAUCGAUCGAUGAAAUCCUAUACUAACUUUGGUUUGCUGCAGAAUUUCGACGAUGAUAACAGGUCGUUCUGGAGCAGAAGCAAUCAAAUACAUUCCUAAUAUAGAUGGUGCACCAUUUAUGUCCAAGUUGUAUACAACUUUGGUAGUCUGAGAACAUCACCUUUUGAUUGUUUUUGCAGAGUUAAUUUUUUUUGUUGUACGAGAUUUGUUGUUGUAAAUGACUGGAUCAUUUUUGUGAACCUGAUUUCAUGAAUGAGAAUGUCUUU